rnacentral:lncRNA from 1 species
AACGAGGCGCGCCCCAGACGUCGUCCCGUGAAGGCAGACCCACGGCCCGGAUGAACGUGGUCGCGAUCGCGGACGUCCCCCAGACAGGCUUAACGGGCCGGCUUCGAGGACCCCGACAGGAAGUGACGCAGGUCAUUAGCCGGGAGGGACGAAGACCCACGGGAACGACGAGAACCGCGCGGCCGACGACGCCUUGGCAGAGGAUCAGGGUCGGCGGCAGGAGCGGCGAUCGUACCGUGCGCACGGAAAGCACGCGAGGUGCCAGCAGAACGCGAGGUAUCAGGGUAGGUGACGGGAGGAAGUUCCGCGAGAAUGUCGGAGCGGCGAAUCUGGGAGAGACGACGGUGGACGUCGAUCAACACGGCGUUGAGGCGCUGAGUCUCGGCCACGGCCCAACUAUUGGGAACACCAGCAGGCGACAACAGACACUGGGCCCAGGUGGCAUGCUGAAGCUGCACUUCGCGACCAUACUCCUCGAGGAUAUCUCGAACACUCAUAGCGGAAAGGAAAGGUGAUGCAAAAGAUAGGAGACCCAAGCAGCCUAUUUAUAGGAAAGGAGAAGGAGGAUGGGCCCGAGAACCGAGGAGCAUUAAUGAAAAUGGGUGGGGGCGAAAGGGGGGCGGACGGCCCCGGGCCCCUGGCCCGCCGAGGAAGGGGGGGAGUACUGUUGGUACCAUGGACCGCGGCCCAUGGACCGAACCGGCCCGGUCGGCAGCCCAGACGGACGGACGGGCCCGACGUACGAGCCCACGAGGCCCAAGGACAGCAAGUGAAGGCUAUAAAUACUUCCCCUGGUCCAACUGGGGAGGGGGUUGAUAAUUCUGAGAGAGAGAGAGAGAGACACUUAUACUAGGUUGGACGGUGAGCUUGCUUCGGCGAACCCUCACACCAACAACAGGUUUGUAAAUUAUAUAGUUUAAUAUUUAUUUUAAAUUUUGUUAGACUUUAAUUGUGACCUCUUCUAUUCACAGACACGAAAUAUAUAACUUCAAAUUUAUUUUUUCUCGAAAUAUUUCAUAUUCAAGAGGUACUACUUAAAGAAUCAAAGAAAGUAGAUAAUUUUAUUAAUAAUAAGGCAAAAAUUAUAUUGGUGAAGUUUGAAAAGUAUUGGAAAAUUUUUAGCCGAAUCCUUGGUAUGUUUAAAUUUAAAUGUUAAUUAAUAAAUCUAAGACUCUCUUAUAUAGUUUAUUACAUGUAUGAAUUUUUAUUUACAAGUUUUGCCACGGUAAUGGAUCCAAGAUACAAACUGAAUUUCAUUGAAUAUUGCAAUAACAAAACCGAUGGUCCAGACUCCACCAAAUUUAUUAAUUUUAAAGAUAAACUUUUUGAUUUAUAUAAUGAAUAUGCCAAAAAAAUGUCUAUUUCAAAUUCAUCAAUUGAAAUUUCAUCAGUUUAAACUCAAUCAACUAGUAGGAGACAAACAAGGGCAUUUUUUCAGGUAACAUAUAUUAGUUUCUAAUUCAAGUAACUAAUAUAUACUUGUAGGAAUUUAAUGAUGCAACUGAAGUGGACUAAAGAAUGGGAAAAACUUGUUUGGAGAUGUAUUUAGAAGAACCUAGAGUGAGUGCAGUUAUUCAUUUAGAUGUUCUUAGUUAUUGGAAAGCAAAUCGGUGCAGGUAUCCAGUAAUGGCAAGUAUGGCACGUGAUUUGUUGACUAUUCCUAUUACAACUAGGAAUCAUCAUUUAGCAUUAGUGGUCAAAUACUUGAUAAAUAUCGUAAUUGUCUUCUGUCAUCAAAUUUAGAAGCACCAAUAUGCACUCGAGAUUGAUUAUUUGUUAAUCAAGAUUCAAACCAGACAACAAUGGAGAAUUUAACGAUGGAUGUGCUAGAUGAUGAGGUAAAUAUAUUUUUAAUUAUUUAUUAAUAUAUUUUACUGUUUUACUAUUUAUUAAUUAUUUAUUAAUAUAUUUUUAAUUUUGCAGGUUGUUGACUUUUGACUUAGAUCCUGAAAACAAUCUUAAAUUAAUUUAAGAUUUUAAUUAAAUUUUGUAUAUGACUUUAAAAAAUUCUAUUUUUUAACAUUAAUUAAUUUUAAUUUUAUUAUUUAAAAAUCGUGUCGUGUCAAUCGUGUUAUGUUCCUACCGUGUUCAUAUCGUGUCGACACGAAUUUUAUGUCGUGUCAGUCGUGUCAUGUUCGUGUUAAAUUUUUUUGACACGGGUCGUGUUCGUGUCGACGAAGAAAAUAAUCGUGUAAGUCGUAUUCGCACUACAAAAAACCAACGUAUUUCUGACGGCAACUUCCUGGCGGCCUGGCCGCCGGAAAAUAACACUAGUCCGCCGAUACAAUUUCCCCCGCUUAAAUGUGAGAAAUGAGCUGACGGUCAGGCCGCCGGGACCUUUUUUUAUUAAGUUUUUGACGGCCUGGCCGUCGGCUCAAAUUUUCCCCAUGUAAAUGUGAGAAAUGAGCUGGCGGCCAGGCCGCCUUUUUUUGUUAAGUUACCGGCGGCCAGGCCGCCAGCUCAAAUUUUCCUCAUGUAAUUAUGAGAAAUUUGCUGGCAGCCAGGCCGUCGGGCUAAACUAAUUUUCUCACUAAAUUUCGCUAUUGUUUUCCCGCUAAUUUUUCAACAAUUUUGGGAAACCCUAAUAUAUUUUAAAUUAAAAAAAUUAAUAAAAAUAAAUUUAUAUACAUAUCUAGAUAGUUAGUGUUAGGAUUAUAAGUUAGGGUUAGAAGAAGUUCGAUUAUAAUAAAUAGUGUUAAUUAGUGAUAUAUAUAGUGUUAGGGUUUUUUAUAAAUUAACUUUAUUUUAAAUCAUAAAAAUUAUAGAUUAAAGUUAUUUUGGAUAUUUUAAAGAAGUUAUUUUAAUUUUAAAGUUAUAAAUUCAAUUAUAAAAUCUUAUUUUCGGGUUUUAUGGCCGAAAAUAUCGACCCAAACCCGGACCCGACAUGUUCGGGUUUAACCCGACCCACGCCCACUCCCAUUUAGUAGGUUAGUCUAAUUUAAUAAAUUUUAAAUUCGAAAAAUUCAAUUUAAUAAAACUUAUAAAAUAACUUUAUUUUAAAUUAUAAAAAUUAAAGAAAUUAACAAAAUUAAUAAAAUUUAAAUAAAUUAACUUAUUAAUGUCAGGCCUACCUUUAACAAUCAAUUGAUGUAUGAGAUGUCAACAUGGAACACCGCUAUAUUCAAAUCUAUAACAAAUGCAUCUUAAUAUAUUUGAGUCUUUGGUAAGGGUCAACUUAUGAACUACCUUUUGCAUUUUUAAAGAUAAAACUGGUAAAAAAAACUAUUCCCUGAUAUAAGAAAUGACAGAGAAGAAAAUAAAAUAAAAUAAAAUAAAACAUUAAAAAAAAAUUACAAUGGUCAUAUGUAAAAUUAUACCUCACUCGAAAGUCCGUCGCUGAAAGUAUAUGAUAGAAAAUACUUUUCUACAUCUUUUUUUGAAAUAAAAGAAAAAUAACGUUUGUAUAAAAUUUCAAAGCAUCAAUCUCAAUUUUCAUAGACGUAAUAUAUUUUGGAUGCCAAAAGAUGUCUUUAUGAUCGUUCAAAUUCUCAGUCUUUUGGAUUGAAUUUAUCAUAUUUUCAUAACGACGAACAAAUUGAAAGAGUAAAUUUUUUACAGUAACCCUAGUUUUGAUAAAUGAAUUCAUACCCUCGCUCCUUUGGGUUGAAUGCAUACCAGCGAAGAAAUGUUCACACAUCAAACAUGGAACCCACGACUUUCGAAUUUCAUAUAAUAUUUUCAACAAAACGUUUGACAACAAAUGAUUGUUGUUCAACCGUAGCGCCCAAGCUUCCUCAAAAUCAUCUGGAGUUUCAGAAUACUUAAUAAUUUGAUAAAAUAAAUUUAAGGCAUUGAUGUCGCGGCAUACAGUGGGCACUUUAGUUGACAACUUAUUGAUGAUAUGCCAUCGGCAAAGUCGGUGAAAUGUUGAGGGAAAAGUAAUUGCAACGGCACCCUUCAUUGCAAUAUCUUGAUCAGUAAUUAUAGAUUUUGAAGCAGUCCCCAUACACUCAACGAAGGUUUUAAACAACCAGGUAAAUACAUCGACGUUCUCGUUACUAAUAUGAAAAAAACAUCAGGUUAUUUAUUUGAAAAAAAUAUACAUCAGGAUAUAAUAAAGUAGCAUUCAUAAUUUAACAAUAAUCAUUAAUAUAAGGAAAUGUUACCUCACGAAUGAACUUACAAAAAUAACAGUCUUUCUAUGAUGAUUGACUACAUAAAAUAUUCCAAAUAUCAAAGAAUAAACGUUCGUCUUAUAAGUGGUGUCAAAUGUAACUGAAUCUCCGAAUAAUUUAAAAUGUUGAAUCAUUAUAGAAUCAACCUAAAAAACAUGUUUCGAUCGUCCAAUCGAAUCCUUGAUAAUGAAAUAAAAGAAAUCUGGUUGAACAAACUUUUUCAUUUCAAAUUCCUCGACCAAUAGAUCAACGUCAUAGUUUUUCAAAUCGACACGAUCGUCGCGACUCAUAUUUGAUAUAUCCAAUUGAGUACAUCCAUAUGCUCGAUUCCACCGACUUAAGAAGAAAAAUAAACAGUUUGCUGAGAAACGGGUACGUUGACAUCACUAAGAGAAUUGAAAAGUAAUCUGUAGGUAGAGAAUAUUAAACGGUUUAUUGGAAGGUACCUUAAUUUUGAUAGUAUGGUGAAGGGAUGAUUGUGCUUUAAAACAAUAUUUUUAAUAAUCCAUUUUCAGACAUAGCAUCUCUCUUUAAUUUAAUGCUUGCACAACAACUACACCUUUAAACUGCAUUAUAACGAUGCUUGCUUACUUUAACAGAAUGUAAUAGGUCGGCAUUUCCUUUUUUCGAACACAACAAUCGUCGCAUAACUAAUGUAUUUUUACCAUCAACCUUAGUAGUAGAGUUUGUAGAAACCAAAUGAACAGAAAAAUCGACUUUCGACGCAUAACCAUAAUAUUUCUCAACAGCUUCUGAAUAUAAAGAAAAAAGUUGACCAACAAAGGGUGGUGAAUUCACAUUAACAUUGUCUGAAGAAGCUUUGGUAUUAUUGGGUUGUUUGGGAAUGAAAAAACUAGGAGAAAUAUUGUCGGUACAAUUAUUAGCAUUAGGGAGUACAAUUACAUCAUUAUUCUCAUAAGAAAUAAGUGUCUGACGAAUGUCUGAUGGAGUUUCAUGAAAAUGAUUAGAACCAUAAAUAGUAUUGGGACUGACAGAGCAUUAUCAUUCAACAUUAUCAUAAGUAGCAUUGGGAAUACAAUCAAAUGUUUUUUCAGAUUGGAUAGAAUAAAAAUCAAGACUCACAUUACACUGUGGUCUGGAACGUUCUAUCGAUGGAUUCAAUGGUUGGGCAUGAAUGAGACGAUAUGGGGGUGGUGUGAUAUAUAUUGAGGAAGAAUUAUGAGAGAAAUGAAUAGUGUUUUGAGGCUCAAUGUUAUGUUGUGGUAAGGGUGAUGAUUGAUCAAUAACAUUUAAUGAAUUUUGAGACAUACCUUGAUGUUAUAAAUAGAUAUAACCAAAGAAGAAAUAAACCAAAAAACGUAGCAUAGAUUAAGGGGAGAAAAAUGUGAUGAGGAUGAAAUGCUCUGUGAAUAACUUGAUAUGGGAAGAAGGUGAAAGAUGAGUAAAGAAUGAAAUGAAAAAAGAGGUAAGAUAAGAAGAUAAAACUCUAACAUGAUUUGACAUAUUUUUAAAAUUUUAGCAUUAACGGUAGAAAAGGAAGGAUUAUAUUACUGCGGUAUAAGUAUCGUUAGACGAAACAUCAAUAAAAAGACGAUAAAGACCUAAAGGUAAAAGAAGAUGGAUGAUGAAUGUCAAAAAUAUUUAAUUAUGACAAGAUGAUGACAAAAAAACAAGAGGUAAAGACAAAAAAAAAGAUAGAGAGAGAGAGAAACAUAAAAAUUAAAAUUAAAAAAAAUAAAAAUAAAAUAACUACACGUGGGUUUGCAAACGGACACAACCCACAUGUUGCGCAAAAAAUUUCACUGGUUGCAACCGGUGAAACACGAAGGGUUGGGAUUUUUUAAAGAAAUUUGGAAGGCUGGGAUGCCUUCUCAUUGUCAGAAAAUGAGAAGACAUUCUUAACUGAUUUUUUUUGUAUAUUUUUUUUUGUUAUUUCCAUAAUUCAUCAAUCCGUCCAUAAAAAAAUCUAGAAAUAAAUGAUUAUAUAUUAUCGUAUCUUGAAUGCGUCGUAGUGUGUUAUCAAAUCGUAUCUAUUAAUAUUUAAUCCAAUAACUAAAAAACACUAACACAUGUAUGAAUUAAAAUAAUAUACUGUAAAAUAUAUUAACACAUGUACAAUACAAAGUCGAUUUAAUAAACAUGAUUAAUUUGACGUAUUUUGUGGUAUUUUGACCUCUACUUGAUAAUUACUCUCUAUAUAAAAAGAAUCAAAGAAUGGACGGUGAAGAUUUCAAUUGGGAAAUAGAAAUUAAAUAUACAUCUCAAUAUCUCAUGCACAGUGCACAUGAGAUGUUAAAUUGUUAAUAUUUCCAAAAUUAAACUAACCCAUCUCUUAUUCUCUUUACUAAUAUUGUCCAAUUAGACCAAAAUACCAACCCAACAGCUCGGCCCAAAAGGAGAAACUAAUCCUUUGACUAAUAAAAUAAGUCCAUUUAGAAUUUUAGAUGACUAUAAAAAAAUACAAAAAAAAAAAAAAAAAAAUUAUGAUGUAUGUAAAAAUUGAAACAAUGGACGGUCAUGAUUUCACACAGUGCACCACAGCACAUGUACAAUAUAAAAAGAGUAAUGACUGGGUGUCUCUGGGACCCACAAACUUCACAUUUUAAAACACCAUGUGAACACGAACACCACCAUUAACCUUUAAAAAUUUAAUAAUAAUAAUUAAUAAUAGAAAUUGUGACAAAUUGCAACUAAGUCCUCUACUAGUGUGUAAAAAAAUCGUAACAAUACCGGGCAAGUCGGCAGAAGGUUGUUAGUUUUGGGCAGUAAGAUGGGAAAAUACGAGUUCAUUCCAAGCAUCAGGGACUCCAGGAAGACACCAGUGACUACAAUCAACAACCAGUGGCGAAUAACUCCAAUUCCCUAUGUGUGCGUCACUCCGAUAAGCGCCCAUCGAAGUCACGUUUAGAACCGUCGCCGGCACCAUCAUCGAUGUGAUUACGUCCGAAAUGAUCCCGGAAAACUCCUCGCUCUGAUCAUUCCCUUUCGGAUCUUUCAUUGGUUGUUCCGUUACGUCGCAAACCUUCCCCCCUCCUUCUUCACUGCUCAAAAUAAAUCACAACAGAAUUAGUACAAGAUCCAAAAUUCUUAUAGCUACUGAUCUACGGACCGGGCCAGUCGAAACGGCCCAGCCCAACCCAACCCACUACGAAAGUACGUUAGUACCUCCAAUGGGAAGGUUCAAAGGUACGGAAGAAAACGUGGGUGCGAGUGGUGUUGACCGUUGACUUAACCCACGAAGCCCACGUCUGAAGCAUAGUUCGGAAAGCGGUCGUAAUGGGUAGGCCGAGCUUGAGUGAUUCGCCGACUUGGAAAUAACAACCACUGUGGGGAAAUUACAAAAAAGACCUUAGAUGGAUUAAAAAGAAAAAGAAAAUAGUAAGGGCAAUUUAAUAAUUUUAUAUAAUAGAAAAUUUUCACGUACGUGUAAAAGAGUUUCUUGUAAGUCCACCAGUGACCGGAGUUGAAAAUAAGGAUAUCGGAAUUGACCCAACUCUUACUGACAUCAUCCAAUUGAUCCAGUUUGAUAGUGGACCGGACUCGUUUGGGCCCACGGUUGGUGGGAGUUGAAACGCCUUGUUGGAGAAGGUAAACCGACCGAAAAAACUCCACCGUCAGAUUAAACGUCUGAAAUCGGACGCUCAGAAAACGGAUCGUCUUUGAGAUUCCGUUGCCGUUCACCUCGUAAACAGAUCUAGGAUCUUCAACUCCGAUCAUCAGCAUACAGAUCAUGGAUUCCCACUGCGUUCUGCUCAUAGAAUCUCCAACGAACACGACUCUUUUGCCGCGGAGCUUCUCCAGCACCGCGGUGGCGUUGAAUUGAGGUAUGUCGCAACCGUGAGGUUUCCAUCUCAAUCUCAUGUAAUCCGUGUCUUUCCUUCCAUUCUUCAGGCAGUUGAACCCUCGCUCAGUAAAGGGACAGGUUGAGCUGUUGUAGAGAGGAUGAGCGUUUGAGAAGAUCCAACUUCCAUCGAAUAUAUCACAGUCGGCGACGGUGCUGACGUUUUCCGCCAAAACGAUUGGAUUAUUCCGACGAUCGGAGUCAGAUUUCGAGUCGAAUAACGAGUUGGUUUGGAUGAGAUUCCGAUAAAAGCAUAGAUAGAGUAAAGAACAGAUUACGAAAAUGAAUGAGGCGACAAGUAAAGUAACAGAUAUCACGGAGACAUAUCCGGCAUGAGACCAGAUUGGGUGUUUCCGGUGCAGACCAGAAGAUCCUCCUCCUCUAGGGCUACUGAAGUUCGGAGUUGUUCUCCGUGACGAUGACGAAGGCGUCCGACAGAGAGUUCCAUUCACCAUCUUCGCUUCAUUUUCUCCAAUCCACCGCCACCGCAAGAUUCAAAGACGUUGUCAGCGAAUCUGCGAAGAUCGGAGGUGAAGACUGAGACGGCCGGCUGUCGGCUAUCGACUGUCGGCGAUGGGUUAAAUAGAUCAGAUAACACCCGAUUAGAAAGAUUGUGUGGAGACUGGAAUGAGAGUUGCUGUGUCGUGAAGAAAGACGUGGUCGAAUCUUCUUCGUUUUUUUAUAUAUUUUUUAAUCCAGAGAGGGUUUGAAUAUUGAAACAUUUGGGUUGUUUGAUUGAUUGAUUGAUUGAUGUCGCCGAACAUAUCAGUUGGUGGAAGCUUUUAGUAAUAACACGUGGCAAAUGAUCAUUGGUUGAAGAAGAAAAAUUAAAUUUAUUUCCUUCUUAUUAUAAACAAAUUAGUAUUUAAUCACCAUGAUGAGUUUAAUGACAUGAUCUGAUGAUUCCGUGAGUCAUGACCUUGAUUUUCUAAUCUUUUUACUUCCAAACUCCUCCCCGCCCACAGAAAUCAGAUAAAUUAACCGUCACAAGUAUAAAGAUUUACCUUAGGUAUACCAGAAUCACCUAGUAAGUCUAUGAUACAGUAACUAGAGAUUUGGAUAGCCUAAGGUGAAUAGAGGUGUACCUAUAUAGGUUGGGAGAGGUUUCAAGUCAACUCAUGUGAAUGUCUACUUUAUAUUAGGUAGUUACGAUCAAAAUGAUCAGAUUACCCCUAUGAAAAGUCUUAUAAAUAAAGAGUCACCCUCAUUCAUUCGAGCAGGUUGAUUCCAGCAAGAGAAGUCCUAACGAAGCAGAGCCAGAGCAACUGAGGAGUUCGAGUUGAUUUCCCCGUAGAGUUUUUCGUUUGACGCUUGUUUGAAACGUCGUCGAGCACUGAUCGGAUUCUAUCCUAAUCAAAAACCCUACAUUUUCAACAACGUUAAUAGUUACUAUAUAACCGAGCUAAUCUCCCUGUCAUUUUAGUGUUGUUGUCAACCGACAAAACUCUGAAGUAUUAAGUCGAUUAUAACUAAAGGAAUCUUUUUACAAGUAGAAAAACUUAUGUCUGAGUGAUAUACCAGAGUCACAUUAUGAAUCACUGAUUAAAUCGUAGUGAAAAUCCGUACACAGCGAGAAUAAAAUUUUAAACUCUCAACAACGUUAAUAGUUAUUGUGAUCCAUUGAGCUAAUCUUUCUGUCAUUUUAAUGUUGUUGUCAACUACCAGAAAUAUUAAGUCGAUAAACCAUGGGAAUGGCAAAUGUAACCGUCAGAAACAUGAUGUAGAUAUGUCAGUAUACAACAAGAUUCAAACUCUGGAUUAUCAGAAACAUUAAUAAUUAUUGUAAUCAGUUAGACCAAUUAACCCCUUAUGUACUAUAUACACAGAUACAAUCAACAAGAGUAAAUGAAUACACUAGCAGUUAAUACUUCAACCUUUGAUUCAUCUUCAUAUUUAAAAUUCCUUUGAAUACAAGAAAUGAAUCCUCAUGCAUUCAAAAUAUAAAAUAUGAGCUCGUACACCGAUGAUAUAUUAUGUGACUAUGAUAUAUCUACCGCAGACAUUUCUACUAAGGGCGACAAUAACAAACACGAUUCGUAAAAAAAUAUGACACGACACGACACGAUUUUAACACAACAUGUCCAUAUGUCGGGUUAGUGUCUAAAAUUUUGACACGAUUAAUAAUAACAUCAAUUUAGCAUUUACCUCUAAAAACACGACAUGAUUUAUACGAAACGUAAGUUGAUCACGACACGACAUGAUUAUAUAUAUCAUACGAUAACACAAAAAUAUAUUGUUAUUAAUUAACUAUUCGUUUAUAUAAUAAAGGUAAAUAAUAUUUUUAUGUAAAACCUUUUAUGUUUUAUAUAAAAUAUUAUAUUCAUGUAUUUAUAAAAUAAUAGGGGUAAAAUAAUAAAAUAUACAUUUUGAUAAUUAUUAUCAUUAAAAUAAUAGUGUGUUGACACGGAUUCAGUCUUUUUUUUGACACGGAUGAUAUUCGUGUCGAUAAAAAAUUUAGUCAUGUUCGUGUCAUGUUACACGAAUUGUCAGACCUAAAAAUAUCAAAUAACUUUUUUGGUUUUUAUUAAUUGGUUUAUUGCAUUAGAUUUCUAAAAAUUUAAAUAUUCACAAUUUCACAUGUUAUUUUUUACAAUUGUUACUUUAAAAAAAAGACAUACCUAAUACCUGUAAAGGUUAGUUAGCCAGAAUUGGUCAUAGAUACCAUAAUUGAUUCACAUUCUUUAGCAAAAAUUUUGUUAGAUCCUCCUACUCAUCUCCUUUGCCAUUUUCGGAAUCUCGAUCCAUCCGAUACUUUCAGGGCAUCCAUUUUCUCCAACUCCUUCAAGGCUUCAUUCAUCUCUCCCAAUCUACAUAAGUUGUAAAUUAUGGUUAGGUAGGUAACCUUAUCAGGCUUACAACAAUCAUUCUUCUCAUUGUUUUCCAUCUCUCUAAGCAAUUUGAGAGCGGCCUGAGUAUCUCCGACGCAACAAAGACCGUUGAUCAAAGUCGUGUAGGUUAUGACAUUCGGAGAACAACCCAACUCGUCACGCAUCAUCUCAACAAGAACAACAGCUUCGUCAACUCUGUUUAUGGCACACAAACCUUUGAUCAGAGUUGAAUAGGUUACAACAUUCGGAGAACAUCCAAAUUUGCUAUACAUCUUCUCAACAAGAACACUGGCUUCAUCAACUCUGUUUAUGUCACAUAGACCCUUGACCAUUGCAGUGCAGACUAUGGUAUUGGGAUGAUGACCUCUUUUGAGCAUUUCACCAAACACUCCAAAGCCCACUUCGACAGUGCAAGCAUUUUUACUCUUGAAGUAGCCGUUAAUUAGUGUACCAUAUGUGAUCACAUCAGGUGCAAACCCCAUAUGAGGAAGUCUUAAAACUAAAGCUGUUGCUUCGACGAGUUUAUCAACCGUGCAGAGACCAUGGACGAGGGCAUUUAGUGUUUGAACACUGGGUGUGAUACCAAAUUUCAUCAUGCAUCCGAGAAUUGCCAAUCCAGUUCCGAUCUGACCCAUUUUAAUAUAACAAGUGAUUAGUACUAGAUAAGUUACAGCUCCGGGCGUACUUCCCAACUCAGGCAUUGUCUCAAACAGCUUCAUGGCAUCUUUGAUUCUACUGUGCUUACACAACCCAUCAAUCAAACAACUCAAAACAACAACAUUUAGGUUCCAUCCUCUCUUGAUCAAAUCACCCAACACUCCAAACCCCAAAUCCAAACGACCCAAGCGGAAGUAAGUGUCAAUGGCGAUCCCAUGUGUGUAGAUGUCUGGGGAAAGAACAUCAGCACCCAAAGCAGUCUUGUAAAUCCAUAAGACCAACGAAUAAUCUCCCAAUCUCUUCACAUGAGUCAACAAAAUAUUGAAGGACGAAACUGAUGGAGGGGGAUUCGAGCUGAGCAUUAUAUCGAACAGUUUCAAUGCAGCAGUGUUUCCGAAAUUAUGGGACUUGCAUUGGAUCCGUAUGUCUCUCUCUAAUUGAUGAAAAGAGGAAAUGCUCCCAACCUCUCUGGAAAGGAGUGAUCUUUGUGCGAGAUAACGAUAUAGACUUUGUCUUUGUAUGUGAUUAGAUACAGCAGUAAACAGAGAGAUAGGUCUUCUUGGCCGCAAAGAAAAGCUGUGCAUCAGAGCCAUGGUUUAGAAGUGAAAUAGCUUGUAAUGAGACAAACUCACUGCCGUGGCCUGUUGAGAGGGAAUCGCCAAACGCCGGUUGAUCAGUCACUAAGUCGGAAUGUGUUCUGUAAUAUUUGGUGAAAUUUAUACGAAUGGUAAAUUUCUAAUAUUUGGUGUCUUUAAAAUCACAAGAGAAGUUGAUUGGCUCAUCCUAGACCUGAAAAUGUUAUGCCCCUGUAUUCGUUUCUGCUUUUGAAUGUCUAUUCGAAUUCGAAUUUCAGAUUUCAAAUCCGUCGUUAAAAUCCUGAUAAUUUCGAAUUUUAAGAUGAUUAAUUGACUAUUAAUUACCUGUAAUUUUAUACUUUUAAAAUUUUCUAAGUUUUGUAUAAAAAGUUUCUAACGUCUCCAAAAGAACGGAGAAAAAUGGUGUGGAUGCGAGAUGGCGGGUGAGGACAGAAAAAAUGGAGAGGGGGACGGAGGUGAAGAUGGAUAAGUUUCAAAUGAGGGUAAGAGGCAUAAAAAUGGCCAGGUGAGUAAAACAAUGAAAGCAUUUUGGAUACAGACAAUUAUUGAUCCUAGCGUACGAUGGUCUGUCUGAUGUUCUGAAUAAGGUGUGUUGUACAUGUAAGGUUGAAAAAGUGUACUACAAAAAUAAGUGGCUAACAUUCAACCCAUAGGAUUUAAGGGUAGAGAUUCUGCUCUGAAUCAAAUCGACAAUAAAAUAAAAGAGUUGAAUGAGAUAUAUGAGAUGUCCACUUAUGAGGUCAGACACAAUAUCACACUCAGAUCUCGAUGUUUGCAGUUUUCACCAUCUUUUUCAUACUUUUUGUAUCACUAAAUGAUAACAACAAAACAACAACUGUAAUAAAACAAACAAUUAUAACUAUACAAAUUGACUACUACAUAAUUAUAACCAAACGAAAUAAGGGAUGGAAAUAUGAAAUCAUGUAGGUUAAUUAAUCUCACUCAUGAUGACUCAACUGUAUUAUCUAAAAAUGAAAGUAUGUGAUUAAUUAACGACAUGCUGAUAUGAAAAAACAUCAAUGUCAUUCUGCACUUUAGCUCAAUAACUUAACAGGAUCAUACAUUCAUAACCCAACUAUUUCUUCAAUUUAAAAACAUUUUAUAUGUCAGAGAAGGAUCGUCAAAUAUGAUGGAAAUGGAUUAGAACUGGCAAAAAUGACAGGACAAAAAAAUGGUCCUAGUAGAUCCUUGCUAAUUGCUAUCAUCGAUGCCUGAGUCAAUGUUCAUUGGAACAGCGGAAGUGGAAGUGCUGACUUUAUAGUUGGCUAUUGCCUCCACAUAGCGUUUCUUGUCUUUUAGAGCCAUAUCUUCGUAUAUCUUUUUAUCAUCAGCUGUGUCACAAAUAUAAUAAGUAUCCCCACUUGCAAGGAAAUGAUAGCUCAAAUAGGAAGUGGUAGGCAUAAUUGGAGUUAAGGCAUACCUGUAAAUUUCUUCCAUUUCUCACCAAGAAUCCUCCCAAUAUCAGUAAAUGCAAUUCCAGGGUGGCUUUUCUUUACAUUCUGUACAAAAGAGAGCAAAGAUAAAUCACAAAACUAAAUUAUUAUGCCAUUUUUAAACUGUUUGAACCUCUAAGACCUUAAUGUCAUGAACCUUAUAAUUGAUAUUGGAAUUUUUAAACUGUUUUGAAAAAUCAAGAAUAUAAAAUAUUGAAUAUUAGAAGAAAAUAUAGAAAAGUGAAAUGGAACUUACAUCCCUCUCAGUGUUUGAGAAAAACAUAAAAGCAGACAUGGCCCUCUUUGGUGCAUUAGGAUCUUUCUUUUUCUUUUGUCGCUUCUUCUUUGAACCUUCAGCCUCUCCAUCAUCCUUAAUUUUCUUCUUCACUGAGGCUCUAGGCAUAACAACUUCUUUUUUAGGAUCCCUUUUUACAAUGUUCUGGACAAACAAAUCACAAAAUUGUAAAUGAUUGUAUGAAUAAUGCGACAGAUUUAGCCAUUUAGGUAAAGGUGGGGGAAAUCAAAUGUUUUUUUUUUGAGAAAUUAAAUUUUCAUUACUGAAAAGUGGUUGGGCAUAUUCCAAGAUUACAGAAUAUAGGGAAAUGCAAGUACAGUAAAUGUAAAAACAUUGUCUAUCUCUUAUACAACUAUGACGCUGACUAAUUGGACUCCCAUGAGCGUAUAGCUUGUUUUUCAAUCUGUGAAAGAUUGUGUUUCUUAUAGGAUGUAGAAUCAUAUGCAAUGCUCACAUCUUUUAUAAUUUCUCUACUGACAAUUUCUGGGGGUCUUAGGGUGUGUUGUUUUAAUCUCCUAUUCCUUUCACGUCAUAUGUGCCAAGAAAGGGAUGCUAGCAUAGUCCAAUGUACCCCCCAGCAACUGGACUUGUGAGUGAAUUUUUGUAUUGUUUCCAUAAUAUCCCCUAUCCUGAUGUCUAUUGCGGGAGAUGGGGGAUUUUGCCCACUAAGUGUCCAAACAGCAUUAUUAAGGCAGCUAGUGGACUCAAGCAAUAGGGAUCUAGUGUAAUGGCAGUUAAAGUAAAGGUGUUGUAAUGUUUCUUCCUCAUUUCCACAUAGUAGGCAGGACGUAUUUAUGUUGAGUCCCCAGCUUUACAGUCUAGUUAAAGUGUUUAGACUCUUGACUUUAAUUCUCCACAACAACAUGGAGAAUUUGGGAGGCUUUUUGGCCCAGAUCCCUAGAUUUAUCUCUUGUAAGAUGCCUCUAGGCCUUAAUGUUUCUGAGUGCUUGGAGGGGGCAAUUUGUGUGACCCUAUAGUUACUCAGGCAGUUUAUACAUUUCCCUAUUGUUUCCUUAUUAGCUAGUAUUGUUUUCCACAUGUGAGAAUCCAGAGUAGGCCUACACUCUAUUUCCCCAAUGUUUCUUCCUUUGGUGUAUCUAAUUUGUAUCCAGUAUGCUAGUAUGGAGUUAUUAGGACUCCACAUCCUCUCUGUUCUUUUAACCAAUGUUGAAGCAUUAGUUGUAAAGAAAUCCCUGACCCCUAUUCCGCCUUCGUUCUUUGGGAGUGCCAUUUUUUCCCAACUACUUCCUCUGCUUCUCCCGUCCCAGAUGAAGUUAUAAGCUAGGCUCUGAAUCUUUUUAAUAACUGUGCAUGGCAGUGUGGUUCCGUAUGCCCAGUAUUAAAACUUACCUUGUAAGACCAAAUUCACUAAUUGGGUUCUUCCUGCAUAAGACAGACAUCUCCCUUUCCAUCUGGCUAACAUUUUUUCUAUUGAAUUUAUCAACUUCCAACAUGUCGCGUGAGAUUUCUUUCUUCCCGUUAUAGGGAGACCAAGAUAGUUGAUAGGGAGGGAUUUAGUUGGGAAGUUGAGAAUGUUGUGUAGAUAAUGAUCAUUCAUGCAUACUUUUGAGUAGGUUGUUGAACUCUUCUCCUGAUUAAUCUCGAGGCUUGAAAAUUUGGAAAACAUCUCUAGGAUUUUCUUGAUUGUUUCUAGAAACUUGGGAUUUGCCUUUGAGAAGAUCAACACAUCAUCUGCAUAGAUGAGAUGCGAGAUGGAAACUGCUCCAUUCACGAUAUAAGUAUCCAUCCUAUUAUCUUUGAUCUCUUUCUCCAUUAGUCUGCUAAGAUUAUCCAUUACCAGGUCGAAUAAGAUAGGAGAAGACAAUGGGCCCCCCUGCCUGAUUCCUCUAAAAUUAGUGAAGGGGGAAGUGGGGGAUCCCUCAAUCAGUACCGAGAAGGAGGCUGUGGAUAUACAGUUGUGUACCAAUUUGCACAACAAAGGGUUGAAUCCCAUUGCGUCGAGGGUGUGUGUGAUUGCUUGCCAUUUCACUGUAUCGAAAGUCUUUUUGAGAUCGAUACUUAGACAACAUCUUUUGGGAGUUCUAAUUCUCCCGAAGCCAUGUACCAUCUCGUCUGUCAAGAUGGUGUUAUCCGAGAUGUUUCUUCCUGCUAUGAAAGUUGUUUGGUGAGGAGAUAUUAACUCAGAGGAGACCUUGGAGAUUCUGUCAGCCAAAAUUUUGGUGAGCAGUUUGUAAAUUAAGUUGACACAAGAGAUUGGCCUGAAGUCCGAUAGUUCGGUAGCUGUGGGUUUUUAUGGGAUAAGUGUGAUUAGCCGACUUCAAUAUGGGUUUGCCAUUGAAGAAUUGUCUGACACAAGUUAGGAUUGUUUGCUUUAGUUCUGGCCAGAGAGCUUUGAAGAAACCCACUGUGAAACCAUCAAGUCUCGGGGAUUUCCCCAUUUGGAAUGCGAACAAGGUGGAUUUAACUUCCUCUUUUGUGGGUUGUUGAGUCAACCACAUGUUCAUAUCUUGAGAUACAAUCCUAAGGAAAAUAACAAGAGAUGGUAUAUUUGGGAAGGGAGAACUCUUGUAAAUAUCCUUAAAGUAAUCCAUACUCUUUUUUUCUAAUUAGGCUCUUAAGAUGACUACCUCACUACCCUAAAGAAAAUAACAGGAUAUGGUAUAUUUGGGAAGGGAGAACUCUUGUAAAUAUCCUUAAAGUAAUCCAUACUCCUUUUUUCCAAUUAGGCUCUUAAGAUGACUACCCUACCCUCUCCAUUUAUUAAUUUCAGAGUUGAGUUCUUUGCCUUCCUUAUCUUUGUAACAAGACCAUAGUUUAAAAAGCGACGCUUUAAGCGUCGCUUUUUUAGCUUUAAGCGACAAAACGCUCCUCCAGGAGCGCUUUCUCAAUCGCUUUUUCUGGACGGGUUAUCGGGUCGGGUUGGGUUAUUGGGUUGGGGCAACCCAUUACCCAUGUGAAAUAACUUAAACUAUUUUAAUUUCCCUUCCUACCCCUCCAAUUUCUAUCUAACUAUAUAAACCCUAAUUUCCUUUAUCACUCUAAUGAAAUGGAAGAAAUUUUUAGAGAUAAUAUAGAUAUUGGUGCUCGUCUAGAUGAUUAGGUUAUAUGACUUGUAAAUGUUUUUCAAAUAAUUUGGAUGAUGUCUUGAAUAAUUACAGGUUUAUAUAUAUUUUAUGUUUUAUGAUUUUAUCAUAUAUUUACAGGUUCAAAGAAUAUAUAUAUAAACAGGGGGUAUGUAUGCAAUUUUAAAAAAAUUACAUUUAUUUACAAUAAUGCCAUUAUCGCUUUUUCAGCUUUAAGCGCGCUAAAGCGCUCAAAGCUGAAAAAGCGGAACCUGAAAAAGCUGACCGCUUUUCCGCUUUCUGAACUAUGAACAAGACUAAAGAACUUAGUGUUUGAGUCUCCUAAUCUAAGCCAGUUGACCUUGCUCCUCUGUUUUUGGUUAGCCUCCUCUAUUUUGAGUUUAUUGACUAACUCCUCCGGCUUCUUUUUGACCUCUUCUUGGAUAGAAGGGGCUAUUGGACUUGUGUUUAGUUGCGUCAUUAGGGAAUCGAGUUCCUCCCUGGUGGUUGUGAUCUAUUUUGCAUCACUACCCUUGGCCGUCGUCCAUUCCUUUGUGAGUAAUUUGAUCUCUUUUAAUUUCUGUUGUAGGCAAUAUAGUCCAUUGCCGCAGAUUGUUUAGCUAGUCCUCUCCUGGCUAGGUCGAGGAACUCUUGCUCCUUCAACCAUGAAUCGAACAAUCUGAAAGGCUUUGGUUUUUGUGCCAUUUGCGCAAUUGAGAUGAGCAUUGCAGCAUUGUCACUAUGCGAGCCAUUCCAAAACUCUACCCUUAUCUCUGGAAAGAGUGAAAUCCAAUCUUGAUUCGAGAAUGCUCUAUCCAAUCUGGAUUGUACAAACCUAUCCCCUACCUGCUUAUUAUUCCAUGUAAAUUCCCCCCUAUUGAGGGGACCUCGAUUAACUCUGCUAAGUCGGUAACUUCAAUGAAUUCAACAGGCCCUCCAUGAGCAUAAACCCCGGCCCCUGGUCCUCUCCUUUCCUCUGGGGUUCUUAUUUCAUUGAAAUCACCCAACACUAACCAUGGGUGGGAGAUGAUAUUAGGUUGGAUGUCCUUAAUUGUGUUCCACAGCUGUCUCCUACCUUCUCUUGUGUUGUUUGCAUAUACUACUAAGAUAAAAAACACCAAUCUACCCUCGUUGUAUAUCUUAGCAUGAAGUAUUUGCCUGUUCAACAAGAUUGGUACCACCUUCCAUUGGUCUUUUUUCCAUAAAAUCCAGAUUGAGUCUGAAUAUUCUGGAUCCUAUGGGAUGUUGUUUGAAAUUACCUGCCACUCCGAAAAAUUGUCUCUUACUGUUUGGAAUUGUUUGGUUUUAACUCUAGUCUCUAAUAGCGCUACUAUGCAUAAGUUCUUUUAUCACAUUUUUUACUUCAUUCUGGAUUAGAGGGGAGUUAAGCCCUCUAACAUUCCAGGUUAUUAGCGCCAUUGUUUGGGACUAAUGACCUGGCGGUGAUGGGAUGGUUUAGUCUAGUUAAUUGCCCGGGUGGCCUUUGCCACCUCUGCAAUUGGGGAAGAUUUUUUGCUCCAUGAAGCAUUUGAGGAGGUGGGAUAUCCCAUGUACAACCUUCUCUUCCUUAUCCUAGCUUUUCUACUUAGGGAUGGGUUUUGGGGGGUAACCGUCCUGAUCAUUAGGAGUUUGUUGGGCACGGUUCUAAAUACUCCAGGGGGGAGGUCUAUCCUCUUCCUCUUCCCCUUAUUAGUUGUGUAAUUCUUUUGAUUUAGGCCUUUAGUUGGAUCUUGGCUCCCAUUUUUCUUAGGUCUACCUCUUCUUCCCACAUUUAGUUCACCAUUAAAUAUUACCUUAGGUCUGUCUAUAGCAGUUUGGGCUGUAAUAUUCUUCUUGGGCUCCCAGUCCAUCGGAGUAUUUUAAGUAGGGGAUUCUACUGUUUUCCCUUUGUCCUGAAUUAUAUCCUCGCCCUCAUAUAUUGCUUUUUCAGAGGCAGCUCUGUCCUCCCAACUGUGGAGAGAGACCUGCUCUUCGUCCGCUACCCUAAUAAUCCUGUAGGUUGGGGAGACCUCGUUAUCAAGGUCCCCCGAGCUUUUGUGCAUUAGUAGAUUCCAAAAGUUGGAACAAGGCAGACUGUUGUUUGAGGGACUCUUAGGGAAAUCAAAUGAUUGAUCUCUCCAAAGAUAUAAUUCAUUCUACUAUAUACACUUGGAGUAGAUUAACGGAAUAUAACUAUCAUUCUCUUAAGUCUAACCUAAAGAAGAAUCUAGAUGCUAAUUACAUAAAAUGUAAAUGCACAAAAUAUUAUGACUAAUUACAAUUUAGACCAUAAGCUAAUAUUACUAAUAGAUUAGUGUUGGAUAUGUUAGCAACUGUGAAUUACUAAUACAGCCAGAUCAAGCUGAUCUGAUUAGAUCGCACACUGAUAUGAUAAUCAAACAGUAUUCAGCAAUGCUGAAUUGCUCUCACAGAUCUAGAUCACUCACACUCGAGAAAGUGUAAAAAAGUAGAAGAACAAUGAACACACGAUUUUAUAGUGGUUCCACCCAAUGUUGGUGUACCAUUCUUCUUGGUGUAUAUUGAUGGUGUCUAAAGCCCUAUUACAUGCAAAGAUUACAUAAUACAGCCACUACUUAGAUAUAUAGAGUGUAUUAUCUUGGACUGGACUCCAAGAUAAUGACUCCAUAAUUGACCCAUUACGGGUACCAAUUAUAUAUAAACAGUCUCCACACUCUAUAUCUCCUAAUGUGAACCUCAACAGUAUAUCCCAAUCAAAAUCUACUAACACAAUCAUAUUUUAAGCAGAUAAUAUUUAUUUGAAUUUUUAGUAUUCGAUGGAAAAAUCAAUAACAAUAAAAAGAAGAAAAUACUUCUUUUUCUCCUCCACUUUCACUUGCAUCCGAUUCUUCUCCUCCAGAAUCAUCUGUUGGUGAACCUCCAUCAUCUUUCUCAGCAACAAAAUCUUCAUCCUUUAUGCAUGCAAUGAAAAAUUAACCUUAAUUCUUCUCAAUAGUAUAUAAGUUAUAAAAACACUUAAUUUUAAGCAGAUUCUAUAAAAAAGGUUGUACCUCUUCAUCACUUUCUUCUGCCCCAGUUUGAUUUCUAAUUCUCUCAAGAUGCGGAUCAACUGCGUCGUCGUCGUCAUCUGCAAGAACAGCUGCAACACCAUUACUGGUUUGUGCAUCUCCUAUGUGUAGAAUUUUCAAACCCUUAUCUCUGUGUACAUUAACAUGAAUAUGCAAAAAGAUUAUACUACUGAAUACUAUCAUAAAAUAUAUUAAUCAUGAAUAGUAAUGAUCUCACUUCAUGAAUUCAAAUAUCUUAUGAUAUUCAUUUCUCUGAAUGUUCCUGAACGAAUGCUCUUGUUGAUUCUUUAACUUUACAAGUAGAUCAAAGUAAUGAGAUGACAUGCUACUUGAUCCUCCAGCACCAUGCCUCUCAAACUCUACGUAAUCAAUCUGUAUAAAAAAAAUGGUAUUGCAUACUAUGCUUGAUCAUCAUAAAAAUAUAAUUAAGCAAAUACUAAAAUAACUGAACACUUUAAGAACAGUUUUUAUUUAUUUAUUUUAAAGAACAAAUUGCAAGAAAAGCUGUACCUCUUCAUGAAGAAUGAGUGUUGGGGGUUUUGGUAAAAAGAAAAAGCCCUUUUCAAGAGGAUAUAAAAUGCCAUCUUCAGCCUUCAAUGAUGACUUAACUGCAUAACCAUCUUGAGCACUGCGAAACUUCCCAGGUCUAGUAACUUUGGCACCAGAUAAGCCACGUAAUAUCAUUGUAAAAACUUCAUGAAUUAGACCCUGGGAUUUUCAGCGAUUUAUGUUAUGACAGUCCCUUGUUGUUAAUGCUAUUAAUAUGGACUAAAGCACAAAAAAAAAGUUUCGUCUGAUAGAAAGAAUGAAAAAAUAAAGUCCACAAUCAGGCCAAUACAUAUGCUGACUAGAGAAGAUAAAAAACUUCUAACAUGGAUGCAGCCAUGUCGUUGUCCCAUCGUAACCUCUGUACUCAACAUAAUGAAUCGUCUAUCGUAAGAACGUAGAAAAGGAGCAGACAUUGGCUAAGGAUAACCAUCUACUUCUCUUCUUUCACUAGUGGAUUCCGGCUACCCCUUUAUGUCUCACCCAGUCACCACUCACCUAUAUUAUGCAUUGCUCACCUCCAGGUAAACGAUUCAUGGUCCCAGUUUCUAUCCUAGAGUCCGUCUGCUUUGCUGAUUUGGGAAUUAGGACGACCGUCGACGACAAUCUUCCAAGGUACUUAAACUACCCCAACAUCAGUUUCAGACCAAUAUCAAUAAAGGCAACUUGAUGUUUAUGCUAUGCUACGAUAACAAUGCCUACGCUCAUCUUUGCUAAAUAAAAUCCAAAAGAAUGAUUUAUUUGUACCUUAUAAUGUUCCUCUAACUUUCCCUUAUAUUUGGUAGUCAGCUGUUCUUCACUCAUAGACAAACUAGUUUCAACAACAUUAUCUGUUUCAAACUGUAGACAGGAGAGACAUAAAAACGAAUGUAAUUAUGUAAGUGAGAAUUACAAAAAAAACUUACAUGUAGAAAAUGUAAAGAACUAAGCAUUUCACCUGCAUCACAAUAUGAGGAUACAUAGUUUGCCCUUUGCGAAUAGGAGGAUCGAGUGUAAUUACCACAAAAGUAUGAGGCUGAUUGGACUGUAUAAUAAAAGAAAAAGUGAAUAUUGUAUGUUGUUGAACAAUGAAAAUUCUCUAAAAAUAAGCAAUAAAAUGAGUAUUCAGUACAGAAUUGCAAUUAAAAAAUCACAUCCCUUAAAGAAAUUGAGAGAACCUUUGGAAGCAAAAAAAGUCGAACUACACUGCUAUAUUGAAUUUUGAAAUCAUUAGCUUGUCCUUGAAGUCGAAAGAAGGAAAGGUGAAGCUCAACAGUGUAUCUCCCUCUAUAAAAUUAUAAAAGGAAGAAGUUUUAGUUUAAAAUAAAAUAAAACUAUAAAAUUUUACUAUUCUAAUGAAACAAAUAUGAACCAUUGCUAGGUGUGCCCAUGUGAGGACGUAUAAGGGUGAUGCCUUAGUUUCAAAUGAAAGAAUGUAAACCCAAAGAAUUCUAUCAAUCAGAUGAAAAAAGAUGAUUCGUACCUAGGUGUGAGGAUAGCAAUACCGUCAAAAGUAGCAACCGCUUCUUCGCUAGAUGAACCAACAUCUGCCUUCUGUGCAAUUUGUUCCAUUAAAACCUGUUGAGAAGCAUGCCACAAUCCAAAUGUUAAUUUUCUUAUUAAGCACCAAAAAUGUGCAUUGAAUCAAUGUGGGGUAAACACCUGUGCUGAGGUCCUAUUUUCAUCGCCAACAAAUUGAGUGUUUGAAUUGGGCACAUGAAAACACAUAUCCAUCAAUGAAUCUUUCUGAAAUCAUGAUGAAUAAAACAAGCGUAAGAAGAACUGUUAUUACAAAUAUAGUAUCCAAACAUACCAACAAAAUACACCAACGGUGGUAAAAAAUAAUUGCACCUUAUUUUGAUUAUAAUAUACCAACACUAUACGUAACUAAUGUAAGUGGCUAAGCUUAUAGUUCAAAUAUGAUUGCCCUAGUCGAUCGGUACGACUGAACGAGUGAGCUUUUUGAUAGCCAACGCUCAACAGUGGUAUGGAAGAAGGGAAAAUAUAGUGGUUUAUGAUAUUGAAUAAAACACAGACAUGAAUUCUAACCUCAUUAGCUCCAGUUGUGUCAUCUACAUGGAAUUCCAAGAAAACAUCAUUCUUUCCCUGCAACUGUGUUUGUGCAACAUCUGCCAUGGAAACCUCAAACGCAUGUUUCCCAGCUGUCAUGAAUGUCAACAUGUUUCCUAAAUGCAAGAACAAUCCAAAACUUAGUUGAGAGACCAGGUUAUUGAAUAAAUAAAUCUCUUAUCAAAACCAAAUACAAAAAAACCACUCUUAGGAAGUAGGAAGAAAUGCAAUACCGAAGAUGAUAUUUUUUUUAUUAACUCACCAUUUAGUUCGAUCCCUCCCCAAUUCCUCCCACACACAGAAAGUUGCUUCUCUUCCAUGGUUACUCCAAACGAUUUUUCAAUAAAGCUCGUCAAGCUACUUACAUCCUAUUUCAUCAUUAUGAAAGAAAGAGACCGCAAUCAAACACAAAUUCUCUAUAAAACAUAUAACCACAAAGUAAUUCCAAAGAACCUGUUCACGAAAUCCGGUAAACUUAUAACAAAGACCGUCUUUAACCAUGACACCGAGCUGGUACGUCCUAGGAACCUUCAUCCAAGUACAACCAGCAAUAUCCGCCUUAUCAACCUCAAUCACUUUCCCUCCUCCCUGUCUCUUCCAAGCAAUCCCUCCGGAGUGCACUCUCAUCUGUCCCGGUUUCUGCAAAACCAAAAUCCAAAAACCGACUUUGAAAAUCGAAAGGGGAAAAAUCUAGGGUUUUCAAAAGAAUAAACGCGUAGAAAAUGGGGGAAAAAAUCACUUACAGUCCCACCGCGACCGGCGAGUAAGAUGUUUCCAAAUAAAUGUCCGUCCGUCAUCGGAGCUAGUGCGAUCACAGGGGGGAUUUGCGAUCCGUGGAAAACGGGAGAUGGAGGGAACGGUUUUGCUCCUAAUAGCAGACUAACGAGUUAACUACUAACUACUGACAAAAUAGUCAAUUUUAGUCAUUUAAAAAUUUAGAUUUUUGAAAAAUAAAAGUUGAAAAAAUUCACCCAGUAAAAUGUGAAUCUUUAAAAUAUGAUUCCAGAAAAUAAAAAUGCAAAUGGGUAACAAAUCAAAGAAAACAAAAAUGGGAAAAAUCUAAGACUAACAUCAACAAACAAGAACAAGAUAGAAUCUUGUGCUGCUGUAGAUUUAUAUCGAAGAGAUGGGUAACCUUGUGCUAGAAUAGAUAAAGUUCGCCGGAAUCUCUAAAGGAGUUCGUCGGCGCACCUAAAGAUUGACUGUUAGUUGGAGGAGGAGAGGAGGCUAGGGUUCGCAAGAUAAUGAAUGGGGGAAGAAGAUGAUUUUUACAUAUGAUUUUAAUUUUCCUCAAAUUUUCCCAAAUUGCAUAAAUUUCCCUCAUAAAUUUAUAAAAUUAUGAAGAAGGGAGGGAAGAUGAAAGAGGAAAAAUUAUGACAUUAUCUAUUUAUUUUUAAUUUUUUUUUAUAAAAUUGUCCAGGUUUUUGGUGGUCAAAUCGGGUGGAGUGGGUGAAAAAUCCAUCCGAACCCGUACCUGAUCCUCAGGUUCAGGUCUUCACCUGACCCAUGGCCACCCUACCCUUACCCACCAUAUAUUAACUAAAAUUAAAUUAAGUGAUAUCUAUGAGUGAUAAUAUAGUUAGAGUGUUAUGGUAGUUAGUGAAUUAGUUGAGAUUUUGUGUUAUAAAUAUACAGGGCCAGCUUCAGGUAAGAACCUCAUCUGUGAGAAUCCAGUGAGAACUUUAAAUCUUAACCCUACAUCUACAUCCAAUGGUUAGGAAUAGAGUGAUUAUUUAAAUUAUUUUUGGUGGAAGAUCCCAAUGCAAUAUAUUCUUUUAUUAUUAAUAAUCUAGUACAUCCUUUUGUCCAAAAAUUUUUUCCACCAUUCACAUUUACUUCUCUCUCCUACUUUUCACCUACUUCUUCACUUUUUUUUUCCCUUUUCUCUCACUUCCGUUUUUUCCCCUUCCUUCAUCCCCUUCUCAAACCCUAUUUCCUCCAUUUCCUUACCUCUAGUGACUUCUACCAUUUUUAUCAAUCUCUCCAUCCUCUCUAAAAAAAUGGUCAUCGGUUCUCCACUAACAUCUGCUCAGGUAUGUUUUCGCGUUUUCCCCCAAAUUUUUCCUUUCUCAUAUAGUUACAUUUAGUUAUUUUCAGCAAUUGGGUUUGCACUAUUUCUAUUCAUCACUUUUUCUUAGUCUACAGUACAUAGUGCACUACACACAGUAAUAGUGCACUGUCAAUAUUCGAUCCUCACAUUCGCUGACACAUCGUACGAAGUACAGUGAUGUGGUGAACAGUGAUUUCUUAUAACAUAGUCUAUCGUCAUCGCGUAGUACAUAGUACAUAGUGCAUAGUUCAUUAGAUGCUAAUAGUUCAUGUCCCAGACAUUCAAUAUUAUUACGUGCUACCUAAUACUACUAGGAUUUACUUACCUACACUCUCGAUCAUUGCAUCCAGCCAUCGUCCGUAUUACCAUAGUGCAUAGUGCAUAGUUCAUAAUUCAUAUCCCAUUGAAAUAGUGCAUGUCCGGCAAUUUACACAUUCUAUAUCUUGCCAUUCUUCCUAAUAACUACUAAGAUUUGCCAAACUUCACUCUAGAUCAUAUUGCAUAUUACAUAGUGCACAGUGCAUAGUAAAUAGUGCAUAGUACAUUGUAGACAUUACUCACAAUACAACUGAUCAACUGCUGUCACAUAAUGUUUAUCAGGAUCAUAUUCACUCGGUACCAAACACGGAAACAAUUGGAUCCUCUCGUACACCAUAUAUUCCCGAGCUCGGCCAACAAAACAGAGAGAUUCUUUUCCAAUAGAAUGCUCAAUGUUCCAAAACAAAGAUCAUGCUCUAAAUGUGGAAUCAAGGGACAUGACAAACGAUCAUGUCCAACAAAAGAUCAAUUUUCUCAACAAGAGUGAGUAGGAGCCAUAGAAUCGCAUGUAAUAUGGACAUCUUAAUUUGCAAAUAGAUGUGAUUUCAACAUUCUAUUAAAUGACAUCUAGAUUUUCAAUUGUAGCAAAACAAUUUAGAUACUCCAUGUUCUAGGAAUACAUUAUAAUCCUACUUACAAAUCAACUAUUCAAAAAAACCUAGUACGCUAACAUAUAAUCAAAAAUUUAGACAGUAUUUAAUUCUCAAUCAUCAAAAUUUGUCAUCAUACGAAUUCCAUCUAACAAAGACCAUUUGGCUGCAUUCAAAUCUUUGUUCAAUCCAUAUCCAACACGACCUAAGGCAAACGCCUAGUGACACGGAUGUUCGCAUGCCCAAACUCACGAUCCAUUUCAUCUCUGGCACGAGCAUCCACGUUACGUUGAUGUCCUUCGCCGUGAACUGGAUCUGCCAUGCACUCCGGGCAAAAGCAUGGAACAUCAUACUGCUCUACACGAUCUAUGACACACAAUGGUUAGUCGGUUAGAUCAUUCACUAAGAAGGAAAUUAUAUAUACAGCAUACAUACCAAAAAUGAGGAAAGUUCAUAGUACAUAGUGCAUAGUGCACCCCAGUGAGGAUAGUACAUAGUGCAUAGUGCAAAACAAAUAAAUAUAGUGCAUAGUGCAAAAAACAUAGUGCAUAGUCCAAAACAAAUAAAUAUAGUACAUAGUGCAAAAAACAUAGUGCAUAGUGCAAAAAAAAAAAGCCAUAAUUGCAAUAAAUCAGCCCAUAACUUACCACUACUACGAGAAAUUCCAGUUCCAGAUCUUUUCUUCUGGGCCUUCUUCUUGAACAGCGAUCUGCAGAUGAUAUAUAUUGGGAAAAAACCAUCAGUAAUUAAUUAAAAGAAAAUUGGAAAGUAACUGGUUUAGUUAAAUAAAUCGUCCACAAAUUGGAGAAAAUAAUAAACCAUUUUUGACAUAGUGCAUAGUACAUAUUUCGUAAUGCCCGAUUUCUAUAAUGUCCAUAACCAACUUAACGAAUAAAUACUAUCAUUUGGACCCUAAGGACAAAAGGAACAAAACUAUACUCCUCAAUUAGUUAAGAAUUCUAUAGAAAAACAACUCCAGCAGGGAGACAGUGAUUUAGACAAAUCCAACAUUUAGUCACUAGUAUUAGCAAAUGUUGGUACCAUGGACCGCGGACCGCGGCCCAUGGACCGAACCGGCCCGGCCGGCCUAGACGGACGGGCGGGGCCGACGGCGCGAGCCCACGAGGCCCAACGACAGCAAGUGAAGGCUAUAAAUACCUCCCCUGGUCCAACUGGGGGAGGGGUUGAUAAUUCUGAGAGAGAGACUUGUACUAGGUUGAUAGUGAGCUAGCUCCGGCGAACCCUCACACCAACAGUGGUGAACCUGACGUGAACCGAACACAUGACGGCCGGAGAGAGGAGGAUGACGCGGAGCGAAUACCAAGUAGGGGAGAGCUCUAAGCGGGCGGCGGAGGAGUACCAGCCGGCACGACAUCACUCUCGCGACCGGUAUUCGGAGGAAGUAAGGGCCAACGAGGAAUGGGACGACGAGGAUAGACUGCGCAUGGAGCUCGAGGAAAUCAGGUACGGGUGGGAGUCACCCAAGAGGCGCCGGCACAGAGAACCGGCGUCCCCACCCAAGGUCAGGAGAACGCGGUCCCGGUCGCGGUCCCGGGAGAGAAGGGAAAGGGAGCACGAGAGGCUCCGGCGAAGGGAACGCGCGGAGGAGAAAGAGCGCGCGGAAAAAGAGAGGAUGCAGCUCGUGGAGCUGAUAUCUACCCUGCAGGAGAGCCAGCGUCAGCUACAAGAGCAAGUUCACCAGCUUACAGUGACCCCACAUACCCUGGAGUCGGACGGGGGCGGAGGGGGGGAUCCCAUGUACGGACCGCCCGCCCCCCCGGAGGGAAGACUAGGCAGCGACGCCCCACCCGUGGAGGCCCCGCGAACCAUGGUGGCAACAACGUCGGGAGGGAGCAGCUGGGAGGCCCUAGCGCAGCACCUGCUAGACGAAGAAUACCCGCCAGGCUGGAGAGCCCCGAAGAUCCCUUACUACAAGGGCNNNNNNNNNNNNNNNNNNNNNNNNNNNNNNNNNNNNNNNNNNNNNNNNNNNNNNNNNNNNNNNNNNNNNNNNNNNNNNNNNNNNNNNNNNNNNNNNNNNNNNNNNNNNNNNNNNNNNNNNNNNNNNNNNNNNNNNNNNNNNNNNNNNNNNNNNNNNNNNNNNNNNNNNNNNNNNNNNNNNNNNNNNNNNNNNNNNNNNNNNNNNNNNNNNNNNNNNNNNNNNNNNNNNNNNNNNNNNNNNNNNNNNNNNNNNNNNNNNNNNNNNNNNNNNNNNNNNNNNNNNNNNNNNNNNNNNNNNNNNNNNNNNNNNNNNNNNNNNNNNNNNNNNNNNNNNNNNNNNNNNNNNNNNNNNNNNNNNNNNNNNNNNNNNNNNNNNNNNNNNNNNNNNNNNNNNNNNNNNNNNNNNNNNNNNNNNNNNNNNNNNNNNNNNNNNNNNNNNNNNNNNNNNNNNNNNNNNNNNNNNNNNNNNNNNNNNNNNNCUCUGGCCCACGUUUUUCGCGGGUGACUUAGUGAGGAAGCCACCGAAAACCUUCGCCGAGGCCAUGGAGAGGUCCCACGGAGAAAGCAAUGUGGAGGAUUACCUGGGCGCGAAGAUCCAGGAAUACAGGCAGCAGCAGAGGGGGAAGGGCGCCCCCGCAGGCGCGGGGGGAGGGCAGCAGCAGAGCCAACCUCAACCCCAACAAACGCAAGCCAAGCCCCCAGCGGCGCCACAGGCGCCGGUGUACAGAACCGGCACCCCGGCAACAGCGGGACGGAGGGAGGCAGGCCCCGCCCCGGCGGCAAACCAAAGACAGGUUUUCCUAACGUUGAGCGGAACAGGAACCCUACCUCUGCCGAGACCAAUGAGAAAGGACACGGCGGCGUUCAGGGACACCCGUCGGUUUUGCGAAUAUCACGAGGACAACGGCCACACGACGGCCGAAUGCCUAAACCUAGCGAAGGUCCUCAGCAAAAUGAAGCCCGCGAACGGAGCCNNNNNNNNNNNNNNNNNNNNNNNNNNNNNNNNNNNNNNNNNNNNNNNNNNNNNNNNNNNNNNNNNNNNNNNNNNNNNNNNNNNNNNNNNNNNNNNNNNNNGAAGCAGGAGCCAGCGGACGAGACCAUAGGGGACAUCCUCACCAUCGCAGGGGGCGAAGCCUCGAGAGGCGACGACCCGUGGGAGGGACGGCGGUACGCGUCUGACGUGGACCGGGCAGCAGGGGCCAAGCGCCCGCGAAUAAACCUGGAUAUCUCGUUCACGGAGGAUGACAUGAAGGAUAUCACCACGCCCCACGACGAUCCCCUGGUCAUAACCCCCAUCUUUCAAAGGGAAGACAAGUCCAGCGUGCGACUGCACAGGGUCCUGGUGGACACGGGGGCGUCGGUGGACAUACUGUACUGGAACGCCUUCGUCGACCUCGGCUUGGCCCGAGCGGACCUACUUCCAUGUCGGGCCCCCAUCAGAGGAUUCGGUCAGUCAGAGGUCCCAGUAGCGGGAACGUUUGCCCUCCCGGUCACCCUGGGACGGCAUGCCCAAGCCAAGACGGUCGAGGUCAUGUUUACGGUCGUCAACUUCACAUCGGGAUACAAUGCCAUCCUGGGAAGGACGGCGCUGCACGCCUUCCAGGCGGUGAUGUCAUCACUCCAUCAGUGCCUCAAGUUCCCAACCGAGGCAGGGGUGUGUACGGUCCGGGGAUCCCAGAAGAAGGCGUGCGAAUGCUACUUCAAUUCGGUCGGUGAAGUAAUGACGUCGGACGAAGGCCUACCCCACUCGAUGCGGGAACGCACGGCAAGACCCGAACCGGCAUCCCACACGACCCAAGUGGCCCUCGGGCGGGACGAAGUACGAAUGGGAAAGAACCUCCCACAGAACAUCAGGGAGGGUCUAGAGCAGCUCCUGAGAAAGAACGAAGACCUGUUCGCUUGCGAGUUGGGGGAGUUGGGCGGCGUACCCAGGAAGCUGGCGGAGCACAGACUGGCGGUAGCCCCGGACGCCCACCCCGUCAGGCAAAAAUUACGCCCGCUAAGGGCGGAAAAAAGGGAGGCGUCCGAGCUGGAGGUCAGGAAGCUCCUCCAAGCGGGGUUCAUUCGUCCAGUACGCUAUCCCGCCUGGCUGUCCAACGUGGUGAUGGUAAGGAAAACAGACUCGGGGUGGAGGAUGUGCGUCGAUUUCACCAACCUGAACAAAACAUGCCCCAAGGACAGCUACCCACUGCCGUCGGUGGACCGGCUGGUAGACUAGAGUUCCGGGUGCGGGAUGCUGAGUUUCAGGGACGCACACUCGGGGUACAACCAAGUGCCCAUGGCACGGGAGGACGAGGAGAAGACGUCGUUCAUCACAGAGAUGGGCACGUUUUGCUUCAGAGUAAUGUCGUUCGGCCUGCGCAACGCCGGGGCGACGUUCCAGAGGCUAAUGGAUAAAAUAUUCAAGGCGCAGAUAGGAAGGAACAUAGAAGUGUACGUGGACGAUAUACUCGUCCGAUCAAAGGAGGCUGAAACGCACUUGGCCGACCUAGAAGAAACCUUCGCCAACAUCCGUAGCGCAGGACUCAAGCUAAAAGCGAAAAAGUGCGCGUUCGGAGUCAAGGAGGGGCAUUUUCUCGGUUUCCGAAUCACACCCGAAGGAAUCAAGCCAAGGGAAGAGAAGGUGGAGGCCGUGAUGGCCAUGAACCCCCCGCGGACGCUGAAGGAGGUCCAGAAGCUGAAUGGAAGGGUGGCGGCGCUGAGCAGAUUUCUGCCAAGGACGGCAGAUCGUUUGAAACCUUUCUUCCAGUUGUUAAGGAACCCGGGACCCAGGGUGGUAUGGUCAGACGAAUGCGAGACGGCGUUCAGAGAACUCAAGCGCCAGCUUUCGAGCCUGCCGACGCUCCGCCCACCAACAAGAGGAGAGCCACUCACCAUGUACGUAGCGUGCUCGGGGGCGGCCGUCAGCGCAGUCCUCAUCUCAGAAGCGGGAGGCACGCAAAGGCCGGUAUACUACCACUCCCGUUCGUUAGUAGGAGCGGAAGAGAGAUAUCCGGAAAUCGAGAAGCUAGCCCUGGCGGUGGUGUCGGCGGUCCGAAGGCUGAAACCGUACUUUCACGCUCACACGGUCACGAUCCCAACGGGUUACCCACUACUGCAACUGCUGCAGAAGCCGGACGUUUCGGGAAGACUAACCAAGUGGGCCAUGGAACUCAGCGAAUUCCACCUAGUAAUCGUGUCAGCAAGGGCAAUUAAGGGACAGGCGGUGGCGGACUUCAUGGCUGAAUUGGCCCUAAGGGAAGGCGAGGAGGCAGACGAACAGUGGUGGACGGCCCACGUGGACGGAUCGUCCAGCAAUAGUGGAUGCGGCGCAGGGGUCGUGGUCACGUCCCCGACAGGAGAGAAAAUCGAGUACUCGAUCCACUUCGAAUUCCGGGCGACCAACAAUGCAGCAGAGUACGAAGCCCUCCUCUCGGGGAUCAGGCUAACUCGCGCACUAGGCGCGUCCAAGGUGCACUUCCACACGGACUCCCGGCUCGUAGCCAACCAAGUCAGGGGAGACUUCGUAUCCAAGGCAGACUCUAUGGCGAGCUAUGUGACCGAGACGAGAGCGGCCUUGGGCAAGCUCAAAGAAUGGAGGAUCUCCCAAAUAGGGAGAAAACACAAUGGGGAGGCCGACACACUGGCCAAACUGGGGGCGUCCUCAGGAAAAAAGGAGGGAAGGUGGAUCCGGAUUGAAAACCAGGAACGACCGACGACGACCAGCGACCGCGGACCAGCCAGAGCGUGCGGAGUAAUAACGUCGGGGGACUGGAGAACGCCGAUCACGAGGUUCAUCAUGGCAGGCGAAGCGCCGACAGACCCAAUGGAGGCCAGGAAGCUAAGGAACAGGGCGGCCUGGUUUAUAGUAGCCCAGGACAAGCUGUACCGACGGUCGGCAGCAGAGGAGGCCCCCCUGCGACUAUGCGUCCCACGUGAGGAGGGGAAGGCCAUCGCACGAAGCCUACACGAGGGGGCAAGCGGAGCGCACCAAGGCGGCAGAGCGCUGGAGAAGCAAGUAGCCAGGCAAGGGUAUUACUGGCCCGAGUCAAUAAAGGACUCAGAGGAGAUUGUCGGUCGAUGCGACGUGUGCCAGAGGCAUUCGAACGUCCAAAGACGGCCAUCCACCAUGAUGAAGGCCGUAACGACACCAGUGCCAUUCGCAAGAUAGGGAAUUGAUAUAGUAGGACCGUUCCCGCCUGCAUCAAGAGGAAGGAAGUUCCUGUUCGUAGCGGUCGACUACUUCACAAAGUGGGCCGAAGCAGAGGCUACGAAUACGAUCAGCGAACAGAAUGUGCUGAACUUUGUCUUCACGAACAUCAUCUGCCGGUUUGGGGUCCCGAUCCAGAUAAUAACGGACAACGGGACGCAGUUCACGGGAAAGAAGUUAAGAGAGUUCUACGAAGACAGCGGGAUCAAGUUAAGCUUCGCACCAGUCUACUACCCGCAGGCAAACGGGCAGGUAGAGGUGACGAACCGAACAAUAACAUCAAUCCUAAAAAGGAAGGUAGGCGAACACCCAGGAAACUGGGCGGACCUAGUCCCGGAAACCAUGUGGGCGUAUCGCACGACCAUCAGGACGCCCACGGGGCAAACCCCUUUCGCCCUCGCGUUCGGGAUGGAUGCGGUAGCACCAGCCGAAUUGGUAUGGCCAACCGCGCGCAUCGAGCAGUUCCAGCCGGGCACGAACGACCAGGCAAUGUUUCUGGAAAGGGAACACUUAGAGGGCCGGAGAGAGGAGGCGUCCAUCAGGGAUCUCACGUACAAGCGAAGGGUAGCAAGGUACCACAACGAAAGAGUAGCCGACAAGAAUUUAGCGCCAGGAGACUUGGUGUUGAGAAAUGCCAAGGUAACGGGAGUCGAUCAGACAAAGGGGAAGUUAUCACCAAAAUGGGAGGGCCCGUACGUCAUCACGGACGAGAUCCAGCCCGACAUCUUUCGCCUGGGGUACGAGGAUGGGCAGGAGAUAGAAAGGACGUGGCAUGCCGACAACUUGGAAAAGUAUAGACGGUAAAGCGGAACGCGCGCGAAACACUACUCCCCCCUAUUGUAUCUUGUUUAACGUCGGGCGCCCCCCGACCACGGCACGUGAUGCCCAAUAAAAAGCACCCGGAGUGCAUCCAUUAAAAGUAUUAAGGUAAAGGAAACGGGGUAGCCCGCCGAAAAGGCCGGCGGAGAGGUCUUGAGGUCAGACGACCACGUGAGACAAUCCGCACGGCCCAGGCCGUUCCCCCGGGCAAACGAAAGCUGGAGAAGCCCGUCGAAAAGGCUGGCGGAAAAGUCUCAAGGUCAGACGACCACACGAGACAAUCCGCACGGCCCAGACCGCUUCCCCAAGAAAACGCAAAUCGGAGAAGCCCGCCGAAAAGGCCAACGGAAGGUCCCCGGGGCCGAGAGGCCACACGGGAACGUCCGAAGGGCCCAGGCCGCUUCUCCGAAACAAACGAUUGAAAGGUAAACGGGGGAGCGAAAGCUAGAGGAAGAAGGAAACGACCGACGAUCAAGCAAAAAGUGAAAGAAAAUAAACAAAAAAGCGAAAAAAAAGCUAAGUGUUAUUACAAUAGAAGAACAAUUGUUUUUUCCAAAAAAAAGAAAACAUUCACUACGGCCGACUAGUCAAGGGAAGGGUCCACGUAGUCAGGGAAAUCGGCCUCAAGGUCCUGCUCUUUGCUGUCGCUCACAUCCACGGGAGGCUGAUAGGUGGGGACGCCCGUCUCUCUCCAACCGGCCCACUCAUUACGGCUCCGAGGCACGACGGCGCGCGACAGGGGCGGGUAAACAAGCGAACACAUCUCGCGUCCGUGCACGUAACCCUUCCAGAAGCCACCGCGUUUGGAGUCCGCCACCAGGGCGGCGUGGUCCCUCUUCAGAUCAGCCAAACGGUCCUCGAAGUCGGGAAGAAAGGCCUUGACAAAGGCGGCCUGAGCGUCCUUCGCAAUUUGCUCCGCGGCAGCAGCCCGAGUCUUCUCUUCCUCCGCAGCCCGGCACACGUGGUCACGCUCACGCUUGACCGCGUCCAGCUCGGUCCUCACGGCAUCAAGGUCGGUCCGCACGACAUCAAGGUUGGCCCUCGAGGCAUCAAGGUCGGCCCUCGAAGCGGCAAGGUCGAGGUCGGCCCUUUGACGCCGAAGCUCCCCGUCCAGCUCAGCGCCCUGUUCCAGCCGAACCUGGGAGAGGACCGAAAGUUGCAGCAGGUGAUGGUGCAGAUCGAGGUCGACGGCCGAAGGAGGACAGGCGCGCAGUCGAACGUAUUCAUCCUCGGGCAUCAUCAAGGAACGAGCGUCCGCAAGUUUUUGCUUAAGGAUCCCACCAAGGCGUGGCAAGAGGGUCACGGGAUCGAUGGGGGCGGCGCAGCCGUCGAGCGUCCUCUGAAGAUCCUUCAUGACAGUCUUGAGGGGCUCGGCAUCAAAAAACCCGCCUUCCGACCCGGACGCAAAGAGGUGGUCAAAGGCCCCGACGGGCGGAAGGCUAGAGUGGCUGGCUCCGGGGCUGUUUUCAGAGGCGUCCAAGUCCUCAACAUGGACCGACUCCAGGGAGGCGACGACCGACUUUCGUUUCUCGGCCCGAGUCUUUUUUCUUUGUCGUCGGUCGGACCGGCUGUCUCGAAGGGGGACGUCCGUGGCACCAGGAGCGGAAGAAGCAUCAGGCCCGGCCUCGAGAGUGGCGAUGGGAGGUGAAGUAAUGGGAGUCUCGAACCGAACUUCGUCGACCGGCCUCUUCUUCGUACGUCGAGGCGGGCCGUCCCGAAAAUAGGGCGUCCUCAUAGGCAAAUUUAGGUGGUCGUCGUAGGUCCAGGUGGAGGCCAGCGUCCGGGCGUUGACGGGCCCAUGGCGAUAAAUCUCGAUGAGAACGUCGUGGGUGAGAGCGGCCAUGGGCUCCAAGCUGUCUCGAGGAGGAGCGGCGGUCCUAGUCUUCAGGGACGUCAACAGAGCCCAGCGCCUGGGGACGUUCACGCCCGACUCCGACGUCUCAAGGGUGCUGACGGGGACGAAGAAGAAGCGGUCCCGCCAGUGGUGAGACCGGUCGACCAGCUGGUCGAAGAGGGCGCCGCUGGAUCGUUGAGCGAUUAACACACGGCGGGGGUCGGUGGUCAUGGCGGUCAUCGUAAACCACGUCAGGAAGACCGGUAGAGAGACGUGGCAGCUGGCGCGGCGCAAGAGAAGGUCGAAAAUCACCAGGCNNNNNNNNNNNNNNNNNNNNNNNNNNNNNNNNNNNNNNNNNNNNNNNNNNNNNNNNNNNNNNNNNNNNNNNNNNNNNNNNNNNNNNNNNNNNNNNNNNNNNNNNNNNNNNNNNNNNNNNNNNNNNNNNNNNNNNNNNNNNNNNNNNNNNNNNNNNNNNNNNNNNNNNNNNNNNNNNNNNNNNNNNNNNNNNNNNNNNNNNNNNNNNNNNNNNNNNNNNNNNNNNNNNNNNNNNNNNNNNNNNNNNNNNNNNNNNNNNNNNNNNNNNNNNNNNNNNNNNNNNNNNNNNNNNNNNNNNNNNNNNNNNNNNNNNNNNNNNNNNNNNNNNNNNNNNNNNNNNNNNNNNNNNNNNNNNNNNNNNNNNNNNNNNNNNNNNNNNNNNNNNNNNNNNNNNNNNNNNNNNNNNNNNNNNNNNNNNNNNNNNNNNNNNNNNNNNNNNNNNNNNNNNNNNNNNNNNNNNNNNNNNNNNNNNNNNNNNNNNNNNNNNNNNNNNNNNNNNNNNNNNNNNNNNNNNNNNNNNNNNNNNNNNNNNNNNNNNNNNNNNNNNNNNNGCAGUCGACGAGGCGGGGGAGAAGCGCCCGUCGUAGGCUCGGCGGUGUCCAACGACCGAACGAUGUAGGAAGAGCGUGGUGGGGGAGUCCAGACGGGCCCACAGGCAGACCCCACCAACGAAACGACGUAACGAGCCGACACCCGAGUCGGCGAUAGAGGGACCCGGCGCGAUGGACGGGGGCAGAGCUCGAGAAGGAUGCGGGCAACGUCGACAGAAGACGCCGAGAAGCGCGAAUCUGCACGGACGUGCGAAGACAGUCAAAACGAAAGAAGAAGAAAAAACGAAGGCAUUUUUCAUUAAAUUAAACCAAGUGUUACAAACGGCCGGUGGCACGGCGGGAAAAAGUACACAACGCACAACAAUAGCUAAGUCCAGAUAUAAAAAAGAAAUAGGAGAGAAGAAGAACGAGGCGCGCCCCAGACGUCGUCCCGUGAAGGCAGACCCACGGCCCGGAUGAACGUGGUCGCGGUCGCGGACGUCCCCUAGACGGGCUUAAGGGGCUGGCUUCGAGGAUCCCGACAGGAAGUGACGCAGGUCAUUGGCCGGAAGGAACGAAGACCCGCGGGAACGACGAGGGCCACGCGGCCGACGACGCCUUGGAGGAGGAGCGGGGUCGGCGACAGCAGCGGGGGCGACGAUCGUACCUUGCGCGCGGAAAGCACGCGAGGUGCCAGCAGAACCCGAGGUGUCAGGGUAGGUGACGGGAGGAAGUUCCGCGAUAAUGUCGGAGCGGCGAAUCUGGGAGAGGCGACGGUGGACGUCGAUCAACACGGCAUUGAGGCGCUGAGUCUCGGCCACGGCGACACUAUUGGGAACACCAGUAGGCGACAGCAGGCACU